rnacentral:rRNA from 1 species
UACGGGGGGUGCGAGCGUUGUCCGGAAUCACUGGGCGUAAAGGGUGCGUAGGCGGGUCUUUAAGUCAGAGGUGAAAUCCUGGAGCUCAACUCCAGAACUGCCUUUGAUACUGAAAGUCUUGAGUAUGGGAGAGGUGAGUGGAACUGCGAGUGUAGAGGUGAAAUUCGUAGAUAUUCGCAAGAACACCAGUGGCGAAGGCGGCUCACUGGCCCAUAACUGACGCUGAGGCACGAAAGCGUGGGGAGCAAACAGG